rnacentral:rRNA from 1 species
UAGGGAAUCUUCCGCAAUGGACGAAAGUCUGACGGAGCAACGCCGCGUGAGUGAAGAAGGAUUUCGGUUCGUAAAACUCUGUUGUUAGGGAAGAAAAAAUGUAUAGUAACUAUAUACAAAAGAGACGGUACCUAACCAGAAAGCCACGGCUAACUACGUGCCAGCAGCCGCGGUAAUACGUAGGUGGCAAGCGUUGUCCGGAAUUUUUGGGCGUAAAGCGCGCGCAGGUGGUUUAGAAAGUCUGAUGUGAAAGCCCACGGCUCAACCGUGGAGGGUCAUUGGAAACUAAUAAACUUGAGUGCAGGAGAGAAAAGUGGAAUUCCUAGUGUAGCGGUGAAAUGCGUAGAGAUUAGGAGGAACACCGGUGGCGAAAGCGGCUUUUUGGCCUGCAACUGACACUGAGGCGCGAAAGCGUGGGGAGCAAACAGG